rnacentral:rRNA from 1 species
ACUCAAAUGAAUUGACGGGGGCCCGCACAAGCGGUGGAGCAUGUGGUUUAAUUCGACGCAACGCGAAGAACCUUACCAGGGCUUGACAUCCACAGGACCUAGUGGAAACAUUGGGGUGCCCUUCGGGGAGCUGUGAGACAGGUGGUGCAUGGUUGUCGUCAGCUCGUGUCGUGAGAUGUUGGGUUAAGUCCCGCAACGAGCGCAACCCCUAUACCUUGUUGCCAGCGGUUCGGCCGGGCACUCAAGGUAGACUGCCAGAGACAAUCUGGAGGAAGGUGGGGAUGACGUCAAAUCAUCAUGCCCCUUAUGCUCUGGGCGACACACGUGCUACAAUGGUCGGUACAACGGGAAGCGAACCUGUGAGGGGGAGCGAAUCCCCAAAACCGACCCCAGUUCGGAUUGCAGGCUGCAACUCGCCUGCAUGAAGUAGGAAUCGCUAGUAAUCGCGGAUCAGAAUGCCGCGGUGAAUACGUUCCCGGGCCUUGUACACACCGCCCGU